AAAUGGCUGCUGGGUAGGCUAUCAAUGGUGUGUCCCAUUUACCCUGUUGGGAGAGUGCACAGAACACAUUAUCCUCAGAAGACAUCUGAUGAGUGUAGAGCCAAAGCAAGGUGAAGGCCUGCAGUGAUGUUUCUCCAAAUGUGAUGGCCUGAAUACCAGCAUGAGAAGGACCUGGAGUGCUUGCUGAAAUUCAGAUUCCGAGGCAUCACCCAGACCAACAGAAUCAAUCAUCCUGGCAGGGCCCAGAAAUCUGCAUUGUAACAAGUUCUCCAGAACCCAGCCAAAGCUGUUGUGAAGAAGCCAGAGAGUCAUCCAGGAAAACCAUACAUCAGUGUCAUUGUCACUGCAGGCACACAGCUCAGCUCAACUGAGGUACCCACUGAUGUCAGCAUUAACCACCAGACUAGGGAGUGAAUGAAACUUCAGAUGGUUCCAGCCCCCAACUUUCAAGCACACCCAGUGAUGCUGAGUGCAGCUGAUACAAGCUGUCCCCAACAAGCCCUGCCCAAGUUACAGAUUUGUGAGCAAAAUAAGUGUUGUCGUUGUUUUAAGUUUUGGAGCUGUUUGUUACACAGCAAUAGAUGACUGGCACAAA